CAAAAACUGUUUGAAUACUAAAUUGUGAAAAAUCAACAUGGAAAACAAAAAGUUCCCAUUCUGCGUAUGCGUAACAUGUUAUGCUGCGACAGAAUAGAAAAUGCUACUCAUCUCCGUUUGUCUCGUAAGAACGACAAUUUUGUUGUCUUCCAUAUUGAUUUUCCAUUUAAUUUGCAGAAAUUUUGCGGCAAGUAUCGAGACUCAAUUUUCGAACGAUUUUCCCUAGGCUUCGGUAUAUGAGUGUCGAGAUCUGUCUUAUAUGUUCGUAGUUCAGUCUUAUACUAGAGAGAAAAUGAGGAUCUUACGUCCAUUCUUCUAGUUGUUCCACGAUAUGCGCUGUACUAUGUGAUCAAGGUCCAAAGGAUUAAAGGCAUUACGGCCACGUGUGUCGCUGCCCGUCGCUGCCCGUCGCUGCCCGUCGCUGCCCGUCGCUGCCAGUCGCUGCAUUCUCCUUUCUCCUUCCUCCUUUCUCCCGUUCCGACGCAUGUUUCUCCGUCUCUGCCUCGUGGAGAUAUCGAUGCCGAAAGCACGAUUUCUUAUUCGCGCUGAUCUAUCUAUAUUUUGUAUACUUGCCGAAUGUCUUGUUCCAACGCGCUUGUUUAGGACCAUGGAAUCUGUUUUUUUGUUACUUCGGCCUGUUAAAGGGGAUUGAUUUGCGUAUUCUUGGUUGAUUCAUGUUUCUUAGACAAAUAUGCGGAUGUCGUCAUAAAAUACUUUCAUUCCGCAAACGUAGCUUUCGACAAAUUUUAUGCGGUGCUUACAUUAAUACGAAACUCGCUAUGAUAAAACAUAAAACGUCGUAUCUAGAAUCACGAUAAGAACAACGAAACCCGACGCUGACCUUAAACUUCAGGCGGCGCGGCGAAUGGAACUUGGAAAGAGGAUCAUCGUGACCAUUUUAUUCUUGAUUUUUGAGUAUUUUUAUUGAUUCGUUAGAUAAUAUGUCAAACCAGUCGUACAAGAUCAAGAGAUUUCAGAAUAAAAUUAUAUGAAAAUUCACGUUUCACAAUAAGAAUAUGUAAUAUUUAUCAAUUAUUUCCAUAGACACUGUUGUCUUCACAAAAUAAUCACUUUUAUGUAAAGGAUUAAUUAUCUUUAUCUCAGAUAUUUGAUCUAUAGAUAUACUUAUAAAACAUAUACAUAUUCGUUCUAAUUACGAACUUUCAAGUACUCAAGCGAUGCACGAUAAGUCUCCGAUAUUUCGUUUCUUUCUACUUGCAGACUUUCGCACAUGAUAUAAUUGACACAAACAGCGUUGAAAAUAUAAAUUUCAAACGUUAUUCGUGGCUUCUUGCUUUUCCAUAUAAUAACUAAUAACGUAAUUACUAGAAAAUAAAAUACGUAUAUGGGUGGUGGAUUGUACAAAAGUGCGUAGUAUUAUUCGACAGUGAUAUAGUCCAUACACUUUUUUACUUAAUUUAUGAAUUAUGUAACAAGCUUUACAUAUGGAAAACGACAUGCUAAUAUUGCUAUAUACUCUGUAGCUACCGCUAGACAAACGAAUAACUAUGUGUAAUUUUGUCGGUAUUUUUUUAAAAACUAUCUCUACACGGGACUGACAUUUCAAUAAAAGUCACACGUAAUCAACUGUA
rnacentral:lncRNA from 1 species